rnacentral:rRNA from 1 species
UACGGGGGGGGCAAGCGUUGUUCGGAAUUACUGGGCGUAAAGGGCUCGUAGGCGGCCAACUAAGUCAGACGUGAAAUCCCUCGGCUUAACCGGGGAACUGCAUCUGAUACUGGAUGGCUUGAGUUCGGGAGAGGGAUGCGGAAUUCCAGGUGUAGCGGUGAAAUGCGUAGAUAUCUGGAGGAACACCAGUGGCGAAAGCGGCCACCUGGACUGUACCUGACGCUGACACGCGAAAGCUAGGGGAGCGAACGGG